rnacentral:rRNA from 1 species
GACGUAGGGUGCGAGCGUUAAUCGGAAUUACUGGGCGUAAAGCGUGCGCAGGCGGUGAUGUAAGACAGGUGUGAGAUCCCCGGGCUUAACCUGGGAACUGCAUUUGUGACUGCAUCGCUGGAGUGCGGCAGAGGGGGAUGGAAUUCCGCGUGUAGCAGUGAAAUGCGUAGAUAUGCGGAGGAACACCGAUGCGAAGGCAAUCC